GCUCACUUCGACAGCACUUAUACUAAAACUGGAAUGAUACAGGGAAAAUUAGCGUGACCCCUGGGCAAGGAUGACACGAAAAUUCAUGAAAUUACUUAAUUACAU
ensembl:snRNA U6 U6 spliceosomal RNA